rnacentral:sRNA from 1 species
GCUAUUUUAGCAAUAUUCCACACACCUAUCGACACAUUCGGCGGGGUGCUUGUUCCGUAUAGGACAAGUCUCUGAAUGGGAUAGGUGGAGGCUUAAC